CUUAAAGUUUAGUUGUAUUAGAUGUGUAUUAAUUAUUUGUGCCUUAUUGAAUAACUAAUCUGCAUUUGAUUUCCUUCUUUAUAUAUUAUUUUACCAGGAUGCUUUCUGUACAAAUUGUGAACCCAUUCCAUAGUGUAUGUUUUAGUGGAUGAGCUUCUGUUUUAUUGCAGUCUUGAUAUUUAUUGGAGCAGUAAAUGAAAUAAUAGGAAAGAAAGUUAGGUAGGAAUGUGUCAUCACUGGAGAAGACUGAGGUAGAAGACGCUGCAAUUAAGCAAAUGUCAUGAAGCCAAACAUGAGAUUCUGAAAAGUCAUGACUGGAAUUAUU
rnacentral:lncRNA from 1 species